UACGGAGGGUGCAAGCGUUAUCCGGAUUUACUGGGCUUAAAGGGCGCGUAGGUGGGUUGGUAAGUCAGUGGUGAAAUACUUUCGCUUAACGAAGGAACUGCCAUUGAUACUAUCAAUCUUGAAUACAGUGGAGGUGGGCGGAAUGCGUCAUGUAGUGGUGAAAUACUUAGAUAUGACGCAGAACACCUAUUGCGAAGGCAGCUCGCUACACUGUUAUUGACACUGAGGCACGAAAGCGUGGGGAUCAAACAGG
rnacentral:rRNA from 1 species